rnacentral:rRNA from 1 species
AUUUAAUAAAAUAUAGGUAGUAAAUAUUAACUAAAACCUUUAUGUAAUGGCGGCAUUUCACCUUAUUAGAGGAACCUAUUUAUUAAUCGAUAAUGCACGCUAAUUUUCACUAAAUACUAAAUCUUAUAUACCCCCAUCUUAAAUCUCAAUAAAAACAUUCCUUUAUAAUAAUAUUUAUAACAAGUUAGGCCAAGGUGUAGACCAUAAUUAAGAUUAAAUUGGUUACAUUAAAUAGUAUUUAAGGAGAAAAAUGUAAACAGAUUUAAUAAAAAAGGAUUUAAAAGUAAAAUACAAAUAAUAAUUAUAUUUGAAUAAGAUUAUAAAUGUGC